rnacentral:rRNA from 1 species
CGGAGGAACAUGUGGUUUAAUUCGAUGAUACGCGAGGAACCUUACCUGGGCUUAAAUGGGGAGUGACAGCUGGCGAAAGUUGGUUUUCUUCGGACACUCUUCAAGGUGCUGCAUGGUUGUCGUCAGCUCGUGCCGUGAGGUGUCGGGUUAAGUCCCAUAACGAGCGCAACCCUUACUGUUAGUUGCCAGCGGGUCAAGCCGGGAACUCUAACGGGACUGCCACCGUAAGGUGAGAGGAAGGUGGGGAUGACGUCAAAUCAGCACGGCCCUUAUGUCCAGGGCUACACACGUGCUACAAUGGGCGGUACAAAGGGUCGCGAACCCGCGAGGGGGAGCCAAUCCCAAAAAGCCGCUCUCAGUUCGGAUUGCAGGCUGCAACUCGCCUGCAUGAAGCCGGAAUCGCUAGUAAUCGCGGAUCAGCAUGCCGCGGUGAAUACGUUCCCGGGCCUU